rnacentral:lncRNA from 1 species
CAAUUUGUAGAGAAAAAAAAAAUAAUAUCAGAUGUUCCCUAGAGUUCCCCUGAACACUUCAUUAGGGUUCCUCAUUUUGCACCUUACUGAAGUGUUUGGGGAACUCCUGAAAUCAUUUGAUCAUAGUAUGUGGUGACAUGGUGUAGAGCUGCAGAAGACUUAUGUAAUAAAAGUAUUAGGGUUUCCAUGUUAAUUAAGAGUUUGGUGCUUCUGGAUUGAGAGGACAUAUGCAAGGUGUAAAAACUAUGGCAAUUUUUCUUUUCUUUUUUUAGUAUUAUGUUUUUUUUUUUUUUUUGGCAAUCCGUGUAAGGAUUUUUAAUUAAAGAUGGGCUUGUAUGUGUAAAUAAUUGUAUGUUAAAUUAUAGGCUAUCGAAUUCGGUCGAGCCCGAUUAAAGUGAUCUAAUAAGGUUUCGGUUUUUGGGCUUUAAUGUAUCCAAUUAAAGUAUGGGUUUACAUAUGUAUAGAGACCGGGCCCAAGUCCUAAUUCUAUGAUGGGCCGAAUUAGGUCAAAGGGCAUCCUUAUAUAAAUAGGUUAUGGUCCCCAGAUCACACGCAACGAAUUAUUCAUUCUCUACUGCAUCCCAUCACAGAGAGGAAAAGGAGACUGCGUGUAGAUUUGAAAGAUCAUACCGCGAAAUCCAUAUUGCAUUAACCAUGUCAGAUUCAGGUAUGCUUUCGCUUUAAUUCUUAUAUUUAUCGAUGAUUUAAUAUGAAAGACCCAGUAAUUUAAAGUAUUAAAUUAUCCAACAAGUGGUAUCAGAGCCUCUUCAUGUUGAAUCAUUGAGAAUCAAAGGUUUUAGUUUGGUUCUUGCAAUAUAUUUUGAAAUUUUCAGAUUUAACAAUUUUUUGUUAUAUGUUUUGUUAAAUUUGAAAAUUUUUGCGGUAUAAUUUUGUUAUUUUUGUUCGAAUUGAUUCAGUUUAGAAAAUUCAGAUUUGGGUUCAGAUUUCUGGUACAGAUUUAAAAAAAAUGGAAUUGGAGCGGCUGCUGCGUUUUGCAGCAGCCGCUGCUGUAAAACG